GACGAACCGUGCGAACGUUGUUCGGAAUCACUGGGCUUAAAGGGCGCGUAGGCGGUCGAUCACGUCCGGGGUGAAAGCUUUCGGCUUAACCGGAAAAGUGCCUUGGAUACGGAUCGGCUUGAGGGAGGUAGGGGCAAGCGGAACUUCCGGUGGAGCGGUGAAAUGCGUUGAUAUCGGAAGGAACGCCGGUGGCGAAAGCGGCUUGCUGGAUCUCUUCUGACGCUGAGGCGCGAAAGCUAGGGGAGCAACGGG
rnacentral:rRNA from 1 species